AGAACGAACGCUGGCGGCAUGCCUAACACAUGCAAGUCGAACGAGACCUUCGGGUCUAGUGGCGCACGGGUGCGUAACGCGUGGGAAUCUGCCCUUGGGUUCGGAAUAACAGCGAGAAAUUGCUGCUAAUACCGGAUGAUGACGUAAGUCCAAAGAUUUAUCGCCCAAGGAUGAGCCCGCGUAGGAUUAGCUUGUUGGUGAGGUAAGAGCUCACCAAGGCGACGAUCCUUAGCUGGUCUGAGAGGAUGAUCAGCCACACGUGGGACUGAGACCACGGCCCAGACCUCCGUACGGGAGGCAGCAGGUAGGGUAAUAGUUAGGACGAAGUGGGACGAAAGCCGUGACUCCAGACAAUCGCCGCGUGAGUGAGUGUAAGGUCUU
rnacentral:rRNA from 1 species